rnacentral:rRNA from 1 species
UACGUAGGGUGCAGGCGUUAAUCGGAAUUACUGGGCGUAAAGCGUGCGCAGGCGGUUUCUUAAGUCAGAUGUGAAAGCCCCGGGCUUAACCUGGGAACUGCGUUUGAAACUGGGAGACUAGAGUGUGGCAGAGGGGGGUGGAAUUCCACGUGUAGCAGUGAAAUGCGUAGAUAUGUGGAGGAACACCGAUGGCGAAGGCAGCCCCCUGGGUUAACACUGACGCUCAUGCACGAAAGCGUGGGGAGCAAACAG